CAGCAGCCACGGUAAUACGUAGGGUGCAAGCGUUAAUCGGAAUUACUGGGCGUAAAGCGUGCGCAGGCGGUUUUGUAAGACAGAGGUGAAAUCCCCGGGCUCAACCUGGGAACUGCCUUUGUGACUGCAAGGCUAGAGUACGGCAGAGGGGGAUGGAAUUCCGCGUGUAGCAGUGAAAUGCGUAGAUAUGCGGAGGAACACCGAUGGCGAAGGCAAUCCCCUGGGCCUGUACUGACGCUCAUGCACGAAAGCGUGGGGAGCAAACAGGAUUAGAGACCCCUGUAGUCCCUGUCUCUUAUAC
rnacentral:rRNA from 1 species